rnacentral:tRNA from 1 species
GGGGAUGGAGCUCAGUAGUAGAGUGCUUGCCUAAGAUGCAUGAGGCCCUAGGUUUGAUCCCCAGCAUUUCAA